GCUAAACGCGAAGAACCUUACCAAGGCUUGACAUACACCGGGCGGCUGUGGAGACAUGGCUUCCCUUCGGGGUUGGUGUACAGGUGGUGCAUGGCUGUCGUCAGCUCGUGUCGUGAGAUGUUGGGUUAAGUCCCGCAACGAGCGCAACCCUUGUUCCAUGUUGCCAGCGGCGGCGUUGCCGGCCGGGGACGUCAUGGGAGACUGCCGGGGUCGAACUCGGAGGAAGGUGGGGAUGACGUCAAGUCAUCAUGCCCCUUAUGCCUUGGGCGUGCAAACAUGCUACAAUGGCCGGUACAGAGGGCUGCGAAGUCGUGAGGCGGAGCGAAUCCCUAAAAGCCGGUCUCAGUUCGGAUUGGGGUCUGCAACUCGACCCCAUGAAGUCGGAGUCGCUAGUAAUCGCAGAUCAGCAACGCUGCGGUGAAUACGUUCCCGGGGUC
rnacentral:rRNA from 1 species